rnacentral:rRNA from 1 species
CAGUCGCCGCGGGAAUACGUAGGGUGCAAGCGUUAAUCGGAAUUACUGGGCGUAAAGCGUGCGCAGGCGGUUAUAUAAGACAGAUGUGAAAUCCCCGGGCUCAACCUGGGAACUGCAUUUGUGACUGUAUAGCUAGAGUACGGCAGAGGGUGAUGGAAUUCCGCGUGUAGCAGUGAAAUGCGUAGAUAUGCGGAGGAACACCGAUGGCGAAGGCAAUCCCCUGGGCCUGUACUGACGCUCAUGCACGAAAGCGUGGGGAGCAAACAGGAUUAGAUACCCCUGUAGUCCCUGUCUCUUAUAC